CAAAGAACUUUGAAGAGAGAGUUCAAGAGUACGUGAAACCGCUCGGAGGCAAACGGGUGGGCCCUCGAAGGUCGAACGGGGGGAUUCAACCCGUCCGCAGGCAUGGUUGCGCGUCACGGAUGGUGAGGCGUCGGACGGAUCCGAACGUCGGACCGGUCCGUGGCACCAAGUAUAUCUUUGCGGCGACCGCGGGCGGGCGCACUUCCCCCUCAGUAGGACGCCGCGACCGGUCGGGUAAGCGGCUUUGCAGCGGGACGACGGCAGGUAUCCGUCGCCGGUCCCUUUCUCUCGUCCUUGUGGCGUGGGAAAAGCCGGUCGGAAUUACAGCUGGUCUCCGCUUCGGUUGCUGCCCGACCGAGGAACUGCGUGCCCGUGCCUUCGGUCGCGAGACGCGCGGUUCGCCCUGGCAGGCUGGGCCACCGGGUACCGGACGCCCCUAGUGGCGGUCGGCUAUCUCGCUGUGGCUCGCUGGUGGUCGGGCGUAGCUGCUCUCGUGGUGGCGCUCGUGGUCAGCGGCGAGUAGGUCGGUCGCCCACCCGACCCGUCUUGAAACACGGACCAAGGAGUCUAACAUGUGCGCGAGUCGUAGGGUACUUGCAAGAAACCCGAAGGCGUAAUGAAAGUGAAAGUUGGUGCGU
rnacentral:rRNA from 1 species